rnacentral:rRNA from 1 species
CACGUAGGCGGCUUCUUAAGUCAGGGGUGAAAUCCUGGAGCUCAACUCCAGAACUGCCCUUGAUACUGAGAGGCUCGAGUCCGGGAGAGGUGAGUGGAACUCCGAGUGUAGAGGUGAAAUUCGUAGAUAUUCGGAAGAACACCAGUGGCGAAGGCGGCUCACUGGCCCGGUACUGACGCUGAGGUGCGAAAGCGUGGGGAGCCAACA